CCGCACAAGCGGAGGAGCAUGUGGUUUAAUUCGAUGAUACGCGAGGAACCUUACCUGGGCUCGAACGUAAGAUGACUGUAGGUGAAAGCUUACAUCUCUUCGGAGCAUUUUACGAGGUGCUGCAUGGUUGUCAUCAGCUCGUGCCGUGAGGUGUCGGGUUAAGUCCCAUAACGAGCGCAACCCCUACCUUUAGUUGCCAUCAGGUUAAGCUGGGGACUCUAAAGGAACUGCCUACGCAAGUAGUGAGGAAGGCGGGGAUGACGUCAAAUCAGCACGGCCCUUACGUCCAGGGCUACACACGUGCUACAAUGGCCGAUACAGAGGGCAGCUACCUGGUGACAGGAUGCAAAUCUCCAAAGUCGGUCUCAGUUCGGAUCGGAGUCUGCAACCCGACUCCGUGAAGUUGGAUUCGCUAGUAAUCGCGCACCAGCCAUGGCGCGGUGAAUACGUUCCCGGGCCUU
rnacentral:rRNA from 1 species